UUCCAGACUCCUACGGGAGGCAGCAGUGAGGAAUAUUGGUCAAUGGGCGCGAGCCUGAACCAGCCAAGUCGCGUGAGGGAUGACGGUCCUACGGAUUGUAAACCUCUUUUGCCGGGGAGCAAGCGUGCGUUCGUGAACGCGCGUCGAGAGUACCCGGAGAAAAAGCAUCGGCUAACUCCGUGCCAGCAGCCGCGGUAAUACGGAGGAUGCGAGCGUUAUCCGGAUUUAUUGGGUUUAAAGGGUGCGCAGGCGGAUUUUUAAGUCAGCGGUAAAAUCGUGGGGCUCAACCCCAUCCAGCCGUUGAAACUGGGGAUCUAGAGUGUGCGAGAGGUAUGCGGAAUGCGUGGUGUAGCAGUGAAAUGCAUAGAUAUCACGCAGAACCCCGAUUGCGAAGGCAGCAUACCGGUGCACAACUGACGCUCAGGCACGAAAGCGUGGGUAUCGAACAGGAUUAGAUACCCCUGUA
rnacentral:rRNA from 1 species